rnacentral:lncRNA from 1 species
GGGUGGCACAAAAGCCACCAUGGCAGCCUGAAUGCACAGGACUGAGGAAUGGGAAAGACCAGGUGUAAUGAUAUUCACAGGAGAGAAAACGACUUAAACAGAGCAGAUUUGUUGCCUCCAGAGUGCUGGGAUUACAAGCAUAUACCUUUAUGCCCGGAAGUUCUUGGGUAUGAUGAAGCACAAUUUUUAAGCCAAGUAAAUGACUUUUAAGAAAGGUGUGUCUCCAAAGGAAGGUCAUGGUGAUGUGGCAAAAGGCAAGAGAAAAUGUUUCCUGUAUUCUAAAACACCUUAGAAUAUUACAUCAGGCACUGGUUUUUUAUGAGGUAAGUGAUAUGGUUAGUUCCAUAGG